rnacentral:ncRNA from 1 species
UACCUGGUUGAUCCUGCCAGCAGUCAUAUGCUUGUCUCAAAGAUUAAGCCAUGCAUGUGUAAGUAUAAACUGCUUUGUACUGUGAAACUGCGAAUGGCUCAUUAACAAAGCAUCGUGUCGGACAACGCCAAGG